rnacentral:rRNA from 1 species
GCCUUAUAGUGGGGGAUAGCCUUUCGAAAGGAAGAUUAAUACCGCAUAAGAUUGUAGUAUCGCAUGAUAUAGCAAUUAAAGGAGCAAUUCGCUAUAAGAUGGACCCGCGUCGCAUUAGCUAGUUGGUGAGGUAAUGGCUCACCAAGGCGACGAUGCGUAGCCGACCUGAGAGGGUGAUCGGCCACAUUGGGACUGAGACACGGCCCAGACUCCUACGGGAGGCAGCAUG